rnacentral:tRNA from 1 species
GGGCGGUUAGCUCAGUGGUAGAGCACCAGUUUCACAUUCUGGGGGUCGUAGGUUCAAGUCCUAUAUCGCCCA